UAGGGAAUCUUCGGCAAUGGGGGCAACCCUGACCGAGCAACGCCGCGUGAGUGAAGAAGGUUUUCGGAUCGUAAAGCCCUGUUGUAAGUCAAGAACGAGUGUGAGAGUGGAAAGUCCACACUGUGACGGUAGCUUACCAGAAAGGGACGGCUAACUACGUGCCAGCAGCCGCGGUAAUACGUAGGUCCCGAGCGUUGUCCGGAUUUAUUGGGCGUAAAGCGAGCGCAGGCGGUUUGAUAAGUCUGAAGUUAAAGGCUGUGGCUCAACCAUAGUUCGCUUUGGAAACUGUCAAACUUGAGUGCAGAAGGGGAGAGUGGAAUUCCAUGUGUAGCGGUGAAAUGCGUAGAUAUAUGGAGGAACACCGGUGGCGAAAGCGGCUCUCUGGUCUGUAACUGACGCUGAGGCUCGAAAGCGUGGGGAGCGAACAGGAUUAGAUACCCUGGUAGUCCACGCCGUAAACGAUGAGUGCUAGGUGUUGGAUCCUUUCCGGGAUUCAGUGCCGCAGCUAACGCAUUAAGCACUCCGCCUGGGGAGUACGACCGCAAGGUUG
rnacentral:rRNA from 1 species